rnacentral:rRNA from 1 species
GAUGAACGCUAGCGGCAGGCCUAAUACAUGCAGGUCGAACGGUGUCUUCGGACAUAGUGGCGCACGGGUGCGUAACACGUAUGCAACCUACCUUACAUUGGGGGAUAGCCUUUCGAAAGGGAGAUUAAUACCGCAUAAGACAGUAGCUGGGCAUCCAGCAGCUGUUAAAGAUUUAUCGAUGUAAGCUGGGCAUGCGUCCAAUUAGCUAGUUGGUGAGGUAACGGCUCACCAAGGCAAUGAUUGGUAGGGGAACUGAGAGGUCAAUCCCCCACACUGGCACUGAGAUACGGGCCAGACUCCUACGGGAGGCAGCAGUAGGGAAUAUUGGGCAAUGGACGCAAGUCUGACCCAGCCAUGCCACGUGCAGGAUGAAGGCGUUAUGCGUUGUAAACUGCUUUUAUACAGGAAGAAACGACUCUUGCGAGAGGCAUUGACGGUACUGUAUGAAUAAGCACCGGCUAACUCCGUGCCAGCCGCCGCAGUAAAAC